rnacentral:rRNA from 1 species
UGGGGAAUCUUGGACAAUGGGCGCAAGCCUGAUCCAGCCAUGCCGCGUGGAUGAUGAAGGCCUUAGGGUUGUAAAAUCCUUUCGUUGGGGACGAUAAUGACGGUACCCAAAGAAGAAGCUCCGGCUAACUUCGUGCCAGCAGCCGCGGUAAUACGAAGGGGGCUAGCGUUGUUCGGAUUUACUGGGCGUAAAGCGCGUGUAGGCGGAUUUGUAAGUUGGGGGUGAAAUCCCGAGGCUCAACCUCGGAACUGCCUCCAAAAACUACAAGUCUGGACCUAAGUAGAGGCAAGUGGAAUUGCGAGUGUAGAGGUGAAAUUCGUAGAUAUUCGCAGGAACACCAGUGGCGAAGGCGACUUGCUGGACUUAUGGUGACGCUGAGACGCGAAAGCGUGGGGAGCAAACAGGAUUAGAUACCCUAGUAGUCCCUGAGCGGGCUGGCAAGGCGCAU